CUCACCUUUGUUCUCCUUUCUGCCGUCUCCUCCCCUCCUCUCCUCCUCCACUUUCCUCCCGUACAUCAGUCAUGCCUCACCCAGAUCCUCCUCCUCCUCCUCCUCUUCUUCUUUCAGUCUCUCUCACCCUCAUCAUUCGCCGUCACCACCACAGUCUUCCCCUCCAGCCUCUCCGGCGUGCUGCAGGGGCGGGCGCUGCUCCUGUUGGCGUGACGAAGAAACACCGCGUACAGCGCUACCACCACCAGCAGCACCGCCGCGCCCGUCGCCGCCACCUGCACCGCCACGCCCGCAGCCCAUGUCGCCGCCACCCACCACGACUCGUCCUCCUCCAUGGGCCAGCUCUGCGUCAGGAGGAGGAGGAGGAGGACAGGAAGAUAAUGUAGAAGACGACGACGAAGCACAGGAAUAGGGAAAAAGAAGGAGAAGACGACGACGAAAAAGUACAACAACAACAGUAAUAAUAACAACAACAACAAGACCACAAUAUAUUCUCUCUCUGUUAUAGAAGAAAGAUGGAAAAGGAAAUAGAGAAAACCGAUGCUGUCUCUCGUUGCUCGCGAUGAACGAAAAGAAGCUAGAUAUUGUAUGCUAUCAGAAGAAGGAAGAGGAGAAGAAAGAAGAGACAAAGAUAAUACUCGUGC